ensembl:snRNA U6 U6 spliceosomal RNA
GUGCUCACUUCAGCAGAACAUAUACUAAAAUUGGAAUGAUACAGAGAAGAUUAGCAUGGCCCCUGCACAAGGAUGACAUGCAAAUUCAUGAAGCAUUCCAUAUAUAU